CACUAUAGAGAACCAAAGUGCCUGUAGGUGAGAGCCAGAAUGAAAACAAAUAAAUGUCGGAAAAUGCGCGAAAAUGAGGAGAAUGCGCACUGGUAGCGGCCCUAUAAAGGGCAUAACGGCGAAAAUUAGAUCUUUUAACAACCUUUGCGAUUUCACCAAGAAACCAUUUACUUUUAUAUCCAGCAGACGAAAAAACGAAAAGUGGAAACUUAUAUACAGGUUCUAAACAGAACUUUAAUUUAAUCGAUUGUGCUUGGUUGUGUGUUACAUAUACAUAAGUUUUUGGUGCGUGCAAAACAAUGUAUCGACAAAUUCAAAGCUAACCGCAACUAAAGAGAAGAAAAUACCGAUUCCUCCCAGUAUUGGCCUGGUGAAAGUCAGCCAAAUUUAUUUUAUGCCAAAACAUUGAUCCUGUGGUAAAACCAGCCUUAUCGUGGUUGAACCCGAUUGACCCAAGGUGCCGAGAGAGCUCACUUAUAUUUGGCGAGGAAAACCGUGUAGAAAAAUCUGAAAUGGGACGAAAUUAAAUAACCUAUAAAUGUAUGGACACAAGAUAAAAUAGUUAUUCAAUAAAUCAGUUCCCACCAAAAAGUAUCAAUCGGCUAUCGAACCGAUUUAUUUACAGUAAAAUAAGAGAGGAAUGCGCGCGAGCCCCUUGGUGAUAUCCAACUGAAAGAAAAAUAAAAAUGUUAUAAAAUUUUCUUUUUUUAAUCCAAAGAAAAAAAUAUCGAAAUGAUUUGUGUCGUUAUGUUAAGUUGUGAUUGUUUGUAGCUAGUGUGUUAGUUUGUAAGUUCUUAUUUUUUUCUUUUUUUGUGCGGAUUUUUUAACGCCAGGAAUUGAGUGAGUGUAAGGUUAUCAAAGUAUACGGAAGAAUUCUAAUGCUUUAGAUUUCAUUUAUGAACUAUAUGAUAAUGUUCAUUAAAAAUAACCGAGCUCGUUUAGGCAGUAGUAAAUAUGAGUGAAGUGGCCAGAUUUGUCAGUAACAGUAAUCUCCCAUUUCGUAUGUGAUUGGUAGUCUGAUGUAUUGUCUCACGUUAAAAUAACAAAAUGUGUUAAGAAUUCCGUAUUUGUUCUUUUAAUAUGUUUAAGGUUUUUGACCCUAAACGUCAAUGAACUAUACAAAUAAAUAUUGUAAGUUUGAUUGUUUAUUAUAAUUUGAA